CUAUAAUGCAGUCGACGCACAGCGAAAGGUGCUUGCACCUUUCAAGUGAGUGGCGAACGGGUGAGUAACACGUGGACAACCUGCCUCAAGGCUGGGGAUAACAUUUGGAAACAGAUGCUAAUACCGAAUAAAACUUAGUGUCGCAUGACAAAAAGUUAAAAGGCGCUUCGGCGUCACCUAGAGAUGGAUCCGCGGUGCAUUAGUUAGUUGGUGGGGUAAAGGCCUACCAAGACAAUGAUGCAUAGCCGAGUUGAGAGACUGAUCGGCCACAUUGGGACUGAGACACGGCCCAAACUCCUACGGGAGGCUGCAGUAGGGAAUCUUCCACAAUGGGCGAAAGCCUGAUGGAGCAACGCCGCGUGUGUGAUGAAGGCUUUCGGGUCGUAAAGCACUGUUGUAUGGGAAGAACAGCUAGAAUAGGAAAUGAUUUUAGUUUGACGGUACCAUACCAGAAAGGGACGGCUAAAUACGUGCCAGCAGCCGCGGUAAUACGUAUGUCCCGAGCGUUAUCCGGAUUUAUUGGGCGUAAAGCGAGCGCAGACGGUUUAUUAAGUCUGAUGUGAAAGCCCGGAGCUCAACUCCGGAAUGGCAUUGGAAACUGGUUAACUUGAGUGCAGUAGAGGUAAGUGGAACUCCAUGUGUAGCGGUGGAAUGCGUAGAUAUAUGGAAGAACACCAGUGGCGAAAGCGGCUUACUGGACUGCAACUGACGUUGAGGCUCGAAAGUGUGGUAGCAAACAGGAUUAGAUACCCUGGUAGUCCACACCGUAAACGAUGAACACUAGUGUUAGAGUUUCCGCCUCUUAGUGCCGAAGCUAACGCAUUAAGUGUUCCGCCUGGGGAGUACGACCGCAAGGUUGAAACUCAAAGGAAUUGACGGGGACCCGCACAAGCGGUGGAGCAUGUGGUUUAAUUCGAAGCAACGCGAAGAACCUUACCAGGUCUUGACAUCCUUUGAAGCUUUUAGAGAUAGAAGUGUUCUCUUCGGAGACAAAGUGACAGGUGGUGCAUGGUCGUCGUCAGCUCGUGUCGUGAGAUGUUGGGUUAAGUCCCGCAACGAGCGCAACCCUUAUUGUUAGUUGCCAGCAUUCAGAUGGGCACUCUAGCGAGACUGCCGGUGACAAACCGGAGGAAGGCGGGGACGACGUCAGAUCAUCAUGCCCCUUAUGACCUGGGCUACACACGUGCUACAAUGGCGUAUACAACGAGUUGCCAACCCGCGAGGGUGAGCUAAUCUCUUAAAGUACGUCUCAGUUCGGAUUGUAGUCUGCAACUCGACUACAUGAAGUCGGAAUCGCUAGUAAUCGCGGAUCAGCACGCCGCGGUGAAUACGUUCCCGGGUCUUGUACACACCGCCCGUCACACCAUGGGAGUUUGUAAUGCCCAAAGCCGGUGGCCUAACCUUUUAGGAAGGAGCCGUCUAAGGCAGGACAGAUGACUGGGGUGAAG
rnacentral:rRNA from 1 species